rnacentral:rRNA from 1 species
AUACGGAGGAUCCGAGCGUUAUCCGGAUUUAUUGGGUUUAAAGGGUGCGCAGGCGGGAGAUUAAGUCGGCGGUGAAAUUUUGCGGCUCAACUGUAAAAGUGCCUUCGAAACCGGUUUCCUUGAGUGUAGAUGAAGGUGGGGGAAUUUUUGGGGUAGCGGUGAAAUGCAUAGAUAUCACGAGGAACUCCGAUUGCGCAGGCAGCUUACUAAACUACUACUGACGCUCAGGCACGAGGGCGUGGGGAUCAAACAGGAUUAGAUACCCUGGUAGUCCACGCAGUAAACGAUGAUUACUAGCUGUUUGCGAUACAAUGUAAGCGGCUGAGCGAAAGCGUUAAGUAAUCCACCUGGGGAGUACGUUCGCAAGAAUGAAACUUAAAGGAAUUGACGGGG